AACGCACAUUGCGCCCGCCGGUAUUCCGGCGGGCAUGCCCGUUCGAGCGUCAUUUUAAUUCCUUCCCAGGAGGAAGCCCCUGUUUCUACAGGGGUUUCUUUUAGGGGCGUUGGCACCGGGCGCCACCUAGGCGGCCGGAGCCCAAAUACAGCGGCGGACGUGCAGGCGGCCCCUAGCGCAGUAGCAUACAAACUUCGCUCAGGAGGCUCGCAGCAGCGGACCACAGCCCAACGCAAAGCUUUUUUGCAACAAAAACUUGACCUCGGAUCGGGUAGGACUACCCGCUGAACUUAA
rnacentral:misc_RNA from 1 species